ensembl:snRNA U1 U1 spliceosomal RNA
AUAUUUACCUGGCAGCAGAGAUGCCAUGAUCACAGAGGUAGUUUUCCCAGGGUGAGGCUUAUCCACUGCACUCCGGAUGUGCUGACCCCUGCGAUUUCGCCAAAUGCGGGAAACUCGACUGCAUAAUUUGUGGUAGUGUGGGACUGCGCUCAUGCUCUCCCCUG